rnacentral:rRNA from 1 species
AGUGAACGCUGGCGGUAGGCCUAACACAUGCAAGUCGAACGGCAGCACAGUAAGAGCUUGCUCUUACGGGUGGCGAGUGGCGGACGGGUGAGGAAUACAUCGGAAUCUACCUUUUCGUGGGGGAUAACGUAGGGAAACUUACGCUAAUACCGCAUACGACCUACGGGUGAAAGCAGGGGAUCUUCGGACCUUGCGCGAUUGAAUGAGCCGAUGUCGGAUUAGCUAGUUGGCGGGGUAAAGGCCCACCAAGGCGACGAUCCGUAGCUGGUCUGAGAGGAUGAUCAGCCACACUGGAACUGAGACACGGUCCAGACUCCUACGGGAGGCAGCAGUGGGGAAUAUUGGACAAUGGGCGCAAGCCUGAUCCAGCCAUACCGCGUGGGUGAAGAAGGCCCUCGGGUUGUAAAGCCCUUUUGUUGGGAAAGAAAAGCAGCAGGUUAAUACCCCGCUGUUCUGACGGUACCCAAAGAAUAAGCACCGGCUAACUUCGUG